rnacentral:rRNA from 1 species
UGAGGGAAAGUUGCAAAGAACUUUGAAGAGAGAGUUCAAGAGUACGUGAAACUGCUCAGAGGCAAACGGGUGGGCCCUCGAAAUCCUCUUGCGGGGGGAUUCAGUCGGGAAGGACUCGGGCGGUCGCCGGUCGAAUCCAGAUCGGACCCCCUUCCGAGGCCGGGCCGGUUAACCGCGGUCCGGGUCCCGCCCGACGCACUUCCUCCCGCACUGCGGACGCCGCAGCCGGUCGGGUAGCUGCGAGAGUCGGCCGUAAGAGCGGGCACCGGCAGGUGGCCGGGGAUUGCGGGCUUCGGCUCGCGUCCUCGGUCGUUAGCCAGCCCGCGCACGUGGCGCGACACCCGACCGAGGCGAAGCGUUCCCGGUAUCCGGGAACUAGCCGUCCCCUACCCAACUCCGGGCAGCGGGCGCCGAGGCAGGCGCGUUUCGGCGCCGCCGCGUCACCCUCCGAGGUGGCCGGCGCGUCGAGGCCGCCGGUGGCUCCGUUGCGACCCGCGGAGGGCUGGCAGGAGGCUGGCGGCGAGUAGGUCGGUCACCCACCCGACCCGUCUUGAAACACGGACCAAGGARUCUAACAUGUGCGCGAGUCACGGGGUCUUGACCAGGCCCAGCGGCGCAAUGAAAGUGAAGGCCGUCUCCCACGGCGGCCGAGUCGGGACCCGGAUCCAAAAGGUCCGGAGCACCGACGGCCCGCCUCAUCCGGCAUCGCCGGCGGGGCGGAGUCCGAGCGUACACGUUGGGACCCGAAAGAUGGUGAACUAUGCCUGGGCAGGACGAAGCCAGAGGAAACUCUGGUGGAGGUCCGCAGCGGUUCUGACGUGCAAUCGAUCGUCAGACCNGG